rnacentral:tRNA from 1 species
GAGGGUGUAGCUCAGUGAUAAAGUGCAUGCUUAGCAUGCACGAGGUCCUGGGUUCAAUCCCCAGUGCCUCCU